AGAUGACCUCGAUCAGUAG
rnacentral:rRNA from 1 species